rnacentral:pre_miRNA from 1 species
CUGUAGUCUGAAGAGCUUCCUUUAGUCCAAGAUCGAGGGUUGAGAAACGGGUAGAGCUGCCAUCUCAUGCAUUAGGUUACACUUAACAUUCGAAUCGCAAAUACUUAUCUGGCUAGUGUCGAUUGAAAUAGCUCAAAAGAAGUUAAGUUAUAACCAGUGCAUGAGGUGGGAGCAACUCCUUCCGUUUUCUCUGCCCGCAGAUUGGACUGAAGGGAGCUCCCAAUAAUCACAAA